UGGGGAAUAUUGGACAAUGGGCGCAAGCCUGAUCCAGCCAUGCCGCGUGGGUGAUGAAGGCCCUAGGGUUGUAAAGCCCUUUCGGCGGGGAAGAUAAUGACGGUACCCGCAGAAGAAGCCCCGGCUAACUUCGUGCCAGCAGCCGCGGUAAUACGAAGGGGGCUAGCGUUGCUCGGAAUCACUGGGCGUAAAGCGCACGUAGGCGGCUUCUUAAGUCGGUGGUGAAAUCCUGGAGCUCAACUCCAGAACUGCCUUCGAUACUGAGAGGCUCGAGUCCGGGAGAGGUGAGUGGAACUGCGAGUGUAGAGGUGAAAUUCGUAGAUAUUCGCAAGAACACCAGUGGCGAAGGCGGCUCACUGGCCCGGUACUGACGCUGAGGUGCGAAAGCGUGGGGAGCAAACAGGAUUAGAUACCCAAGUAGUCCCUGAGCGGGCUGGCAAGGCGCAU
rnacentral:rRNA from 1 species